rnacentral:rRNA from 1 species
GAUGAACGCUGGCGGCGUGCUUAACACAUGCAAGUCGAACGGAAAGGCUCCUGCUUGCAGGGGUACUCGAGUGGCGAACGGGUGAGUAACACGUGGGUGAUCUGCCCUGCACUUCGGGAUAAGCCUGGGAAACUGGGUCUAAUACCGGAUAGGACGAUGGUUUGGAUGCCAUUGUGGAAAGUUGUUUCGGUGUGGGAUGAGCUCGCGGCCUAUCAGCUUGUUGGUGGGGUAAUGGCCUACCAAGGCGUCGACGGGUAGCCGGCCUGAGAGGGUGUACGGCCACAUUGGGACUGAGAUGCGGGCCAGACUGCUACGGGCGGCAGCAGUGGGGAAUAUUGCAUAAUGGGCGCAAGCCUGAUGCAGCGACGCCGCGUGGGGGAUGACGGCCUUCGGGUUGUAAACUCCUUUCGCUAGGGACGAAGCGCAAGUGACGGUACCUGGAGAAGAAGCACCGGCUAACUACGUG